UGUGUGGGCACCAGUCAACUGUGCAAACAGCUGCCUGAAUAGAAACUGGUGGUGGCAAGGUUGAAGAAUCCAGCAAGAGAGAGGAUACAGACUGCGGCAUGACUCCGUUGAGCUCUCCUGUUCCGUUUUUGGCUGUGCAGGAGAAGCUGCUGUGCUCCUCGUCAUCAUUUUUUAAUUCAUCAGGAAAGCAUUGGGAGCCGCAAAAUCAGAGUUGUUGAAUGAUCCCAAAGGUACCUUGAACAAACUGAAGAUCUACAUCAUGAGCUGGUACACAGUGAUAGGAAGUAUAANUCAGAAACACCCAGAGGGUAAGUGAGCCUUUUAGAUCUAAACCCAAGUGGUGACUGGUGGAGCAGACAAGUGAGACAACUGAAAGGAAGUGGUCCAAAGAGUCAGCAAAUAUAGAUGCAACAGCUGUUCAAGCAUCAUGAAGUUGCAGUCUUACCCAAACUCACAUGAAAAUACUGGCNUAUCUAAAAUGUUGCUGAAUAUUCCACAUCAGUUAAUAGAAUUCGUCGAGAUCGUUAGUUGAUAUUUGAUCUCUCCUGUGCGUGCUUUUAUGUUUAUUUGUUUGUUUAUUAUUUCUACUUCUAACNUGCCCUAUACCAGAAGGUCUCAGGGCAGGUCAGAAUAAAAUCACAGUAAAAC
rnacentral:lncRNA from 1 species